rnacentral:rRNA from 1 species
CGAACGGGUGAGUAAUGCGUGACCAACCUGCCCCAUGCUCCAGAAUAGCUCUGGAAACGGGUGGUAAUGCUGGAUGCUCCAACUUGACGCAUGUCUUGUUGGGAAAGUGUUUAGUGGCAUGGGAUGGGGUCGCGUCCUAUCAGCUUGUAGGCGGGGUAAUGGCCCACCUAGGCUUCGACGGGUAGCCGGCCUGAGAGGGCGGACGGCCACAUUGGGACUGAGAUACGGCCCAGACUCCUACGGGAGGCAGCAGCC